rnacentral:lncRNA from 1 species
CCGCUGCCCUCGCUCCUCUUCCUCCUCCUCUAGCCUCUGGGCAUCCCCUCUCCCCACCCUCCUCUAACCAGCGACUCCUUUGUGCCUCCUUCAGCCCUCACCUCGGCCUCUCCGAUCCCAAUUAGUCGGUUUCAAGGGGGCCCCCGCUGGCGGCCCCGCCCUCUCCUCAGCCCCCCCUUCAAAGGGAUCCUUGAAACCGCCCCGUCGAGCUUUGCUCCGUCCCAAAAUGUGCUCUCGGCCAAUCAGAUUUAAAUUCGAGGACCAGCCCCGAGGGCUGGAUUGGUCGACCACAACAUAAUGAGAUCAGAAACCAGAUGCCAAGAAAACUCUGCCCCCCUCCUUUUGCUUUUUUAAAGAGACAAGCUAUUAUUAUAUUAGGGGCUGUUUGCUCAAUCCGAGAUCUCUUCGGAGUCGCCGAGGCGAGGUCCCGAGACACGUUUUCCCAGGGUGGCGUCCGAACCAGGCAACUCAGGCCUGAUCUGUGGUCCUGGAGCCCAGGCGCUCUGAGGAGGAGGAGAACUUAAAAAGAAGAAAGACGAUUGAGUUUAGACAGCCGCUUUUGCCUCUGAGUGUGGGCCAAAUCCUCCUAGCUGGGGAAGCUGCUUCCUGCUCCGAUCUAGGAUUGGACUGCGUUCAGAAACAGAAAAACAGCAGAUUUGAAGGAGAGAAGAGUAUAUGAUGAACCGGCUUCACAGUGUUGAAAAGAGGUCCUCCCCGACCCCCGACGAGAUGAAUGAUUGUAAAUUUUCAGCAGCUCACACCUCUGUGAUCCCCAAAGUCGAAGCUGAGGCAGGAGAAUUACUAGGAGUUUCAGGCCUGGAUCAGCUGCUGUAUGAGAACGAAAAAAAAGAAACAAAAAUAUUCCAGUUCUUUACAACCUGAAAAUGGUCCUUGUUGGAUUUCUUUCUUUCUUUCUUUUUAAAGACAGGGCCACACAGAAUAAUCUUGGACGACCUAAAACUCUGUAUGUAGACCAGGAUGGCCUUAAACUCACAGAGAUCUGUUUUCUAAAUGUGCUGGAAUUAAAAGCAUGCCCCACCACCCUCAGCAUCCUUAUUGGAGUCUUGAAUAGCUUCUCUUUCCCCUUUUAAAGAAGAUAGAGUUCUGGGGCUGGAGAGACAGGCUCAAUGGAUAAGACACUGGCCACUCUUCCAGAGGACCUGGGUUGGAGUCCCAGAACCCAUUUAGUAGCUCAGACCACCCCAUAACUUCUGUUCCAGGGCAUCAGACGCCCUCUUCUGGCCUCCCUGUGUACUACAUGAAUGUAAUACUCAUGCAGGCAAAAUACCUGUGUACAUAAAAUAAACAAAUCAAUAAAUCAAUUUUAAAAAGACA